ACGGAGGGUGCAAGCGUUAAUCGGAAUUACUGGGGGGAAAGGGAAAGAAGGCUGUAUGGAAAGUCAGGGGUGAAAUCCCACGGCUUAACUGUGGAACUGCCUUUGAUACUGCACAACUUGAAUCCGGGAGAGGGUGGCGGAAUUCCAGGUGUAGGAGUGAAAUCCGUAGAUAUCUGGAGGAACAUCAAUGGCGAAGGCGGCCACCUGGACCGGUAUUGACGCUGAGGUGCGAAAGCGUGGGGAGCAAACAG
rnacentral:rRNA from 1 species